rnacentral:tRNA from 1 species
GAAGGUAUAGUUCAGUGGUAGAGUGCAUGCCUAGCAUGCAUGAGGUCCUAGGUUCAAUCCCCAGGACCUCCA